CCCAUCGUCCGGACCACUGAGGAUCUCGCCUGUGUUGAAGAACUCCGAGGGACAUGAAGACCACCUAAUCCAUGAUCAAACUGGCUUGGACAACCUGGCUGCGACAGUGGAACCCUCCUAAAAAGCGGGUGCCAAGAGACAUAACUGGUGUUGUGGGAACAGAAUUGGGAAUCAGUUCAGAGGUAUUAAUGAAUAAAUUGGCUUCUACGACUAGAGAUUUGACCAAAAUACAGCAACCACUGCAGUCGUCCUUAUCGGCCUUGGGAACACAUCAGUGCUUGCUAUCAAACAUUCUACCAAAUUGGGAAAAGAUAAAUGUGAAGGAUAAAAAAUUGAUCAUUGAUGCACUUAAUGCCACGCAAAGCAAUGUUUCCUUAGCUCUUAGCUGUAUCCAGGCUCAAUUAUGGAUGCAGUCAGUUGCUGCCUCAAUUAUAAGAGAAGGUGAA